rnacentral:rRNA from 1 species
AACAAACGCUGGCGGCGUGCCUAACACAUGCAAGUCGUACGAGAAAGGGUCCUUCGGGGCCUGAGUAAAGUGGCGCACGGGUGAGUAACGCGUGGAUAAUCUGCCCUUCAGUUGGGAAUAACUCAUCGAAAGGUGGGCUAAUACCGAAUAAUGCUGUGAGACCUCGGUUGAUCAGCCAAAGAGAGCCUCUGCUUGCAAGCCCUCGCUGAAGGAUGAGUCCGCGUACCAUUGGCUAGUUGGUAGGGUAAUGGCCUACCAAGGCGACGAUGGUUAGCUGGUCUGAGAGGAUGAUCAGCCACACUGGAACUGAGACACGGUCCAGACUCCUACGGGAGGCAGCAGUGAGGAAUCUUGCGCAAUGGGGGCAACCCUGACGCAGCAACGCCGCGUGAGUGAGGAAGGUCUUCGGAUCGUAAAGCUCUGUCGGAUGGAAAGAACCGCAUAGGGGUAAACAGCCCCUGUGUCUGACGGUACCAUCAAAGGAAGCACCGGCUAACUCCGUGCCAGCCGCCGCCGUAAAAC